AUGAUGCCAAGUCCUGCCCAUACAAGAUGUUACGUGGUGCCAUUUACACCACAGUCCUUGUCUAUUUAUGUAACUAAUGUAUUCAACUUUUCCUCUUUUUUUUUUAACUCUUCUUUUAGCAGCACAUGAUCUUGUGAUCAGUAAUUCCUUUUGGGUCUUAGGGAAUUGCUUUGUAAUCCAUAAAACUCAUUCAUUCUUGUGACCCUCGAUAAGAAUUGAUUUGCAAUUAGAUAUCUAAAACGAUAACAAAUUCCAAUGUAAACAUUCCAAGGCAAAAAGACAUUCUGUUGUAUAUACAUAAUUAUCCUGGUCUUAUGGAUUUAUGGCUAAUGCAUUUAAAUAUAACUUAGAUGCAUUUCGGAUCGAACGCAAGAUAAUAAUAAUUAUACAAAUAACUAAUCAUUCAUAAUAUGUCGCUGUUGUUAUAUUUGUUUAUCAAGAUAAUAAGAACGGAGAUUCGAACUCUGACUUUAGGUAUGGAGAUAACUACUCUAGUUAUAUAUGGAGAGAGAGGAGUUAUAUUCCUUGAAUUGGAAUAUUUGUUCACAAUAUUGUUUUUUUGUACUUAGAGAUAGAUACUAUAUACAGUAUUUUGAAGCAAAACAACAUGAUUUCCUCAUCCGUAAAACAAAAUCACAAGUUGCAAUUACGAAGCAAAUAGGAAUCUUGAUCCAUGAAUUAUGUGUUGUGCCUAUCAUGAUCUGCCACAAUAUUCAACCAGUCACACGCAGCAGGUCCUGCCAAGAAGCCAUGUCCAUUUCUUGUAGGUCCUGCUGCUGA
rnacentral:lncRNA from 1 species